rnacentral:rRNA from 1 species
AUUGAACGCUGGCGGCAUGCCUUACACAUGCAAGUCGAACGGCAGCACGGGAGCUUGCUCCUGGUGGCGAGUGGCGAACGGGUGAGUAAUACAUCGGAACGUACCCUGAAGUGGGGGAUAACGUAGCGAAAGUUACGCUAAUACCGCAUAUUCUGUGAGCAGGAAAGAGGGGGAUCGCAAGACCUCUUGCUUUAGGAGCGGCCGAUGUCGGAUUAGCUAGUUGGUGAGGUAAAGGCUCACCAAGGCGACGAUCCGUAGCGGGUCUGAGAGGAUGAUCCGCCACACUGGGACUGAGACACGGCCCAGACUCCUACGGGAGGCAGCAGUGGGGAAUUUUGGACAAUGGGCGCAAGCCUGAUCCAGCCAUGCCGCGUGAGUGAAGAAGGCCUUCGGUGUAAGCUCUUCGUGGGAGAAUGCUCGUAUACUGAGUAGAUGACGGUACCCGCAUAAGAAGCACCGGCUAACUACGUGCCAGCAG